UGUCCAGUCUGUUCUUAAAAAUCUCCAGUGAUGGAUCACCCACAAUGUCUAAAGGCAAGUUCAGUUCAAUUCAGAAGGCAAGUUUAAAUUUCACAUGGGGAUAGCAGUUUGAUCUCAUACAAUAUCUACUCUAUCGUCCUUAUGUUUGGAGAUUUGGUCUUUUUUCAGUAAAGUUUUAGGUUAACUGCUCAUUUUUUCCUUCUCUGGAUAAUACUUUUUUUUAACUUGCUAGUGUAAAUCCUUUCAUAAAAGGCUAGGACACUCUAGCCUGGAUAAGCAUGGACUGAAUCAUUUCCUUUUCUUUUUUUAUAUACACAUACUUUUCAGAGUAUAAGACACACUUCUUUCCCCCUAAAGAGGGUGAAAAUUUGGGUGCAUCUUAUCCAUCAGCCAUACCUGGGGGGAGGGAGUUGGUACGGUGGCGGCAACUGCAAUAAGCAGCUAAUUGUUGAUAUUCUUGGAGGCUGAUCCAAAUGGCAAUCGGUGAGGUGGGAUUCAAACCAUUUGUUAAAUUGAGGAGAAUAGACUGCCACCGCAUCACACCACCACUGGGCCUGCUGCCCCAUCGCCAUCACCUGCUGCACCGCCGCUGAGCCUGCCAUAUCGCCACUAUCUGCCGCUCCGCCACUGGGCCUGCUACCCUACUACUGAGUCUGCCAUCCUGCUGUCACAUCGCCACUGGCCUGCUGCCCCACCGCCGCCCCAUCGCCCCACCACUGCUGCACAGCUGCUGAACCUAUCGCCCAUCACAUCGACGCUGGGUCUGCUGCCCCAUCACCACCUGCCAUCCUGUUGCACUGCCAGGCCUGCCGCAUCUCCUGGACUGCAUGGACUGUGAGCCAGAGACACAGAGAGAGGAAAAUGUUGUGGUUCCUCCUGACGCUACAUACCAGUACAAGAAUGUCA